GCAGUGGUGGUUCAGUGAAAGAAUUCUCGCUUUCCAUGCAGAAGACCCGGGUUCCAUUCCUGGCCAAUGUA
rnacentral:tRNA from 1 species